rnacentral:tRNA from 2 species
GGGGUCGUGGGGUAGCGGACUAUCCUAGCGGGCUUCGGACCCGCUGACCUGGGUUCAAAUCCCAGCGACUCCG